GGGUUGUGAGGUUAAGCGACUAAGCGUACACGGUGGAUGCCCUGGCAGUCAGAGGCGAUGAAGGACGUGCUAAUCUGCGAAAAGCGUCGGUAAGGUGAUAUGAACCGUUAUAGCCGGCGAUGUCCGAAUGGGGAAACCCAGUGCAAUUCGUUGCACUAUCGUUAACUGAAUACAUAGGUUAACGAGGCGAACCGGGGGAACUGAAACAUCUAAGUACCCCGAGGAAAAGAAAUCAACCGAGAUUCCCCCAGUAGCGGCGAGCGAACGGGGAGCAGCCCAGAGUCUGAAUCAGCUUGUGUGUUAGUGGAACGGUCUGGAAAGUCCGACGGUACAGGGUGAUAGUCCCGUACACCAAAAUGCACAGGUUGUGAACUCGAAGAGUAGGGCGGGACACGUGGUAUCCUGUCUGAAUAUGGGGGGACCAUCCUCCAAGGCUAAAUACUCCUGACUGACCGAUAGUGAACCAGUACCGUGAGGGAAAGGCGAAAAGAACCCCGGCGAGGGGAGUGAAAAAGAACCUGAAACCGUGUACGUACAAGCAGUGGGAGCACCUUCGGGUGUGACUGCGUACCUUUUGUAUAAUGGGUCAGCGACUUAUAUUCUGUAGCAAGGUUAACCGUAUAGGGGAGCCGCAGGGAAACCGAGUCUUAACUGGGCGUUAAGUUGCAGGGUAUAGACCCGAAACCCGGUGAUCUAGCCAUGGGCAGGUUGAAGGUUGGGUAACACUAACUGGAGGACCGAACCGACUAAUGUUGAAAAAUUAGCGGAUGACUUGUGGCUGGGGGUGAAAGGCCAAUCAAACCGGGAGAUAGCUGGUUCUCCCCGAAAGCUAUUUAGGUAGCGCCUCGUGAAUUCAUCUUCGGGGGUAGAGCACUGUUUCGGCUAGGGGGUCAUCCCGACUUACCAACCCGAUGCAAACUACGAAUACCGAAGAAUGUUAUCACGGGAGACACACGGCGGGUGCUAACGUCCGUCGUGAAGAGGGAAACAACCCAGACCGCCAGCUAAGGUCCCAAAGUCAUGGUUAAGUGGGAAACGAUGUGGGAAGGCACAGACAGCCAGGAUGUUGGCUUAGAAGCAGCCAUCAUUUAAAGAAAGCGUAAUAGCUCACUGGUCGAGUCGGCCUGCGCGGAAGAUGUAACGGGGCUAAACCAUGCACCGAAGCUGCGGCAGCGACACUAUGUGUUGUUGGGUAGGGGAGCGUUCUGUAAGCCUGCGAAGGUGUGCUGUGAGGCAUGCUGGAGGUAUCAGAAGUGCGAAUGCUGACAUAAGUAACGAUAAAGCGGGUGAAAAGCCCGCUCGCCGGAAGACCAAGGGUUCCUGUCCAACGUUAAUCGGGGCAGGGUGAGUCGACCCCUAAGGCGAGGCCGAAAGGCGUAGUCGAUGGGAAACAGGUUAAUAUUCCUGUACUUGGUGUUACUGCGAAGGGGGGACGGAGAAGGCUAUGUUAGCCGGGCGACGGUUGUCCCGGUUUAAGCAUGUAGGCUGAUUGUCCAGGCAAAUCCGGAUAAUCAAGGCUGAGGUGUGAUGACGAGGCACUACGGUGCUGAAGUAACAAAUGCCCUGCUUCCAGGAAAAGCCUCUAAGCAUCAGGUAACAUCAAAUCGUACCCCAAACCGACACAGGUGGUCAGGUAGAGAAUACCAAGGCGCUUGAGAGAACUCGGGUGAAGGAACUAGGCAAAAUGGUGCCGUAACUUCGGGAGAAGGCACGCUGGUGUGUAGGUGAAGUCCCUGCGGAUGGAGCUGAGACCAGUCGAAGAUACCAGCUGGCUGCAACUGUUUAUUAAAAACACAGCACUGUGCAAACACGAAAGUGGACGUAUACGGUGUGACGCCUGCCCGGUGCCGGAAGGUUAAUUGAUGGGGUUAUCCGUAAGGAGAAGCUCUUGAUCGAAGCCCCGGUAAACGGCGGCCGUAACUAUAACGGUCCUAAGGUAGCGAAAUUCCUUGUCGGGUAAGUUCCGACCUGCACGAAUGGCGUAAUGAUGGCCAGGCUGUCUCCACCCGAGACUCAGUGAAAUUGAACUCGCUGUGAAGAUGCAGUGUACCCGCGGCAAGACGGAAAGACCCCGUGAACCUUUACUAUAGCUUGACACUGAACAUUGAGCCUUGAUGUGUAGGAUAGGUGGGAGGCUUUGAAGCGUGGACGCCAGUCUGCGUGGAGCCAACCUUGAAAUACCACCCUUUAAUGUUUGAUGUUCUAACGUUGGCCCCUGACCGGGGUUGCGGACAGUGUCUGGUGGGUAGUUUGACUGGGGCGGUCUCCUCCCAAAGCGUAACGGAGGAGCACGAAGGUUAGCUAAUCCUGGUCGGACAUCAGGAGGUUAGUGCAAUGGCAUAAGCUAGCUUGACUGCGAGCGUGACGGCGCGAGCAGGUGCGAAAGCAGGUCAUAGUGAUCCGGUGGUUCUGAAUGGAAGGGCCAUCGCUCAACGGAUAAAAGGUACUCCGGGGAUAACAGGCUGAUACCGCCCAAGAGUUCAUAUCGACGGCGGUGUUUGGCACCUCGAUGUCGGCUCAUCACAUCCUGGGGCUGAAGUAGGUCCCAAGGGUAUGGCUGUUCGCCAUUUAAAGUGGUACGCGAGCUGGGUUUAGAACGUCGUGAGACAGUUCGGUCCCUAUCUGCCGUGGGCGCUGGAGAAUUGAGGGGGGCUGCUCCUAGUACGAGAGGACCGGAGUGGACGCAUCACUGGUGUUCGGGUUGUCAUGCCAAUGGCACUGCCCGGUAGCUAAAUGCGGAAGAGAUAAGUGCUGAAAGCAUCUAAGCACGAAACUUGCCCCGAGAUGAGUUCUCCCUGAGACUUUAAGUCUCCUGAAGGAACGUUGAAGACGACGACGUUGAUAGGCCGGGUGUGUAAGCGCAGCGAUGCGUUGAGCUAACCGGUACUAAUGAACCGUGAGGCUUAACCUUACAACGCCGAAG
rnacentral:rRNA from 1 species